rnacentral:lncRNA from 1 species
AGGAGCACAAGAAAUUAUGUACUUUGAACUCACUAUAAUCAGCCCUCUAAAAUGAAACUCGAGUUACAAAGAAUUGCAUAAAUUGAAAUAAAUACAGUAAUACACAUUAGCGAAAAAUGCUAUGACGAAUUCGGACUUACCAUGUGUCACAGAGGCUGAGAUACUAAUUGAACUUCUUUAGCCAAGCAGCGAUAGAUUGCUUGUUGUCUCUUCAAGUCCACCUCUAUUCAUGACAAACAUCUUACCCUUUAUAUGAAAACUCCAACCACGCUAAAUAUGGAAACUCCGAUCACACUAUUUUUAAUCCACAUAUCUCAGUAAUUUCAAGAUCCAUUUCUUUACCUUUACAAAAAAACUCAAGAUCUAUGAAAAUGUGCAACAUCAAAAAAAAGGAAAAAAUAUAUCAAUAAAUUUUUGACAAUGCCAUUCCAAGGAGAAAAAAAAUUAGUUGUUUAAUCCUAAUAACUUACCUAUAAUAGCUGAUGAGUAAAUCACAAGUUAAAUCUUAAAUAUGCGAAGCUAUGAUUUUGAUGAGGGAAAACACAAGGCUACAAACUUCUAUAAGAUCACUUUUUUCUCAUUUGACGAAAAAGUAAAUAAACAGAACUCAACAUGUCAAAACUAUUAUAUACUUAGUAACAACCAAUAAGCACUUCAAACACAAAUGCGAUUAAAUUUUAUCCAUUCAGCCACUAAUAACCGUAAAAACUAAAGGCGCUCAUGAUGACAAAGUGGUGCUAUAAAUUACCUCUGCUGCAAUGUGACGUGGUUGAUGCUUGAAUUCCAGAGUCUGAAAUAAAUCUCAAAUCUAAUUGGUUUGAUGUUCUUUCGGAAACCUCGUCGCAAGUUUUUUAAAAUCUACAUAAUACAAAAGAAUCUGUUGAUAUUUCUUUCAAUACCUUGGAUGGAAUUUGCAAGUGGAUUUCAGUAGCUCGAAGGAAUACGUUUAUUUGGUAGUUGACGCUACUGUCAUGUCUGAAAUUAGGCUGCAGAUGGAAGCUUUUAGACGUGGCUUCAAUCAGUUUUACUGCUGUCAUAAGCCUUUGUAGCCUGAGUAUUCUGUCUGGAGUAUUUAAAUGAUUACGCUUUGAAGACCUGCACAAGAAAUUAUGUACUUUGAACUCACUAUAAUCAGCCCUCUAAAAUGAGACUCGAGUUAAUUGAAAUAAAUACAGUAACACACAUUAGCGAAAAAUGCUAUGACGAAUUCGGACUUACCAUGUGUCACAGAGGCUGAGAUACUAACUGAACUUCUUUAGCCAAGCAGCGAUAGAUUGCUUGUUGUCUCUUCAAGUCCACCUCUAUUCAUGACAAACAUCUUACCCUUUAUAUGAAAACUCCGAUCACACUAUUUUUAAUCCACAUAUCUCAGUAAUUUCAAGAUCCAUUUCUUUACCUUUACAAAAAAACUCAAGAUCCAUGAAAAUGUGCAACAUCAGAACAUGUGCGCAGGACUGGGCAACAAAAUGGGAAAAAAUAUAUCAAUACACUCACAAGAAGAGACAACCAAAACAGAAGAAAAUAAUAACAAUAAUUUGCGUGGAAAAAAUAACAUGCUUCACAUUACUUGGCAAAAAACUCACAUAUAUGCAUGCCAAAGAAGGAUGAACAGUAAGCUUCAAAAUGGUAAAUAAAAACAAAAGAAACAAAAAAACAUUAUUCAGUUAUCUCAAUUUUAAGCCAUAUAUCAAACACAUUGCGUAAAUUAGUGUGCACAUGCUGUAAUGAUAACCAAUCCAUUAGAACCUCAUAUCUUCUAGUGCUUCUCAAAUGUUCUUCAAC